AGGACAGUGUUGGGAAGGAUAGGGUGAGUGAUGUGACGUCAGAUGGCACAGUGGCUGAGGCCAGUGCUCCAGGUGGGAGCAGACUGCUCUGAUCCUAUUGUCGCUCUCAUCAACGCACACUGGAUGUGACAGAAGCUGCUGACUCCCCCUCUCUCAGCUCUUCCCAAGUAUUCACUGUGGGAACAAGAUCAAAACCAAAUAACAAUCUCUGAGCUUGGUACCACGAAGAAAUCUCUGGGCGGGGGAGAGAUAUGCAGCCAAGCAAAUGGAAGAGAAGGCUACAGCUUCCAUUACAUCCAGUAUCACGUAAUAGCACGUGGCUUGUGGUCUGAAAAUAAACAUGAUGUAAACCAUGGAUCAGAGACUUAAACUGUAAUUUAGAAGGAGAGAUCGUGAAACAACGAGACCAGGUUAUAGGACAAACCUCUUCAUAAUUCUACUUCUUGAAAAUUGAGUUUCAAUACAAUAUAUCCACAAAUGGAUUUUGAAUGGUGUCCUCAGGAUAGUUCAUGGAUUUUGAACUGAAAGUGACAGAGAAAUUCAGUAGAGUGUUUUUGGAUUUUUAAGGAACCUAAAAUCAAUUUGCAAUGCAAAAUUAUUCAUGUUGGCUGAAUGGCAACCAAUAGCACAUACUGUGAAUGAAAUGAAACUUUCAAUCAGCCACUUCCAUGCAGAAGAGGAAUUCACCAGAGGAAGUUCUCCUCAGCCAAGUACCAAACCAGCAGGUGUAGCAGAAACGGAGAGGCAGUGAUGAUGCAGCCUCCUUAAUUCACAAAGCUGAUGCUUCAUCUCCGAGUCUCCAAUCUACAAAAUCGGUCAAAGCUCGAUAAUGCAUCCGAGGCUAAAUAAUGCAUUUGCUGCUACGAGUGCAGUCCUAAAGGCAAUGAACAAUUCUCUAAAGACAAUGAUAGCCACCACACUGCAAAUCUACCAGACACCCUGAGCUAAGAUAGAUUGGUCGUACUGUGUGCCAGUGCACAGUUGGGUGGCAGGGACUGGCAAAAGUUUCUUCCCUCAUGAUGUUAAGCCUCAACAUGAUCCCCUGACACAAGCCACAUCAACUGAGAGACAGCUAUGGCCAGGUUAGACUCCACAUCACACAGUAUCACCACCUUGGAAACCAGGACUUCCCUUACUGAUGAGAGUACAGAAAUCAAGACACACAGCAAUUGACCUGUAGUCAUUUUGGAGCAAAGUAAUACCAUCUUCUGCAGAAUCUCCUGUGUCAAGCAUUAUGCUGUUGAGAAUGAAAUUCUGGGAUCUAGAUCCAAAAAUAAUGAACAAUGUCGAUAUAUCUCCAAGUCUAUUGUGCAAAACUUGCAGAGCAAUUCAUAAUAGCAGAGGUGCCUAUACUGGCCUCCUAUAAGUGUGUGGAAUUAUUAAUAUAUUAAUUCCCACACAUCAUGUUUCAUUAGAGAUAAUCACAGCAAUGUUAUUCUAUUGGUUUUGCACAUGUUGCUGGAUCUAACACUAAGUAGAAAUAAUAUGCUCAGCUCUGAGCAAAAGAUAAUGUAACUCUAUAACUCACUUUUCCUGUAUGAUUAGAAACUGACAUUGAUAUUUAGUAUAAAGGUGUCUAAAACUCUAAUCUGCCUUUUCCCUCUCAGUGGGAUACAUGACAUUCCCUGCCUUGAAAUAACAACAUAGCAACGGUGGGAAAAUAGAUCCCUUCCUUCCAUAAUAUGAGGUAAUGGUGAUCUAACAAAUACCAGAUUACAAUGAACUGUUAAUAGAUAUGUUUUACUUUAAUCCCUGGAACUCAUAACUUUAAAGAAUAUGUAUAAUAUUUAAUAACAUAUCUGGAACUGUCAUAAAGAGGUGAAUUGUCUAAACUUAAUUACAUUAAUUAAAACUCAAACACAAAAGAAGUCUUAGUUAUAAAUAUUGUUUGAUUGUCAUUUGAACUUUAAAUCUAUUUUCUUUCAUCACACCAUCCUCCGGUGGAUGUAUGCUGGCUUAUGUGGUGACGCACCAUUACUUGUGCCAUGAUAAUUAGGACAGGGCAUUCUGAAAGGGGAAGAAGAACAGUCAGUACUUGGUGUACAUGUCAAAAGGGAUGAGAUCCUGCCACGUGAACUUAGGGACUUGGGGAGCAGAUUAAAGAACAGGACCACUUCCAGUGCUUCACUCCACUGAAUAGGAGAAUAGGAAAUGGGCCAGAUGAAUACAUGACUGAAGGGAUGGUGUGGAAGGGAAUGUUUUUGCUUUUUAGACCUUUGGGAAUGACCUUUGGGCACCAAAACUAACUGAACCUAGAAUGGGUCCAAUAUCCCUAUUGUGAGUUUUGCUCAUGCUAUGAGGAAGUUUAAAACCUAUGUUGUAUUAGAAUGAAACACAAAGUUAGUGUACAUUUGGGGGAAAUAAGGAAAGGUGGGCAAGGUCAGUCAAAUAAUAAAGAAAAAUUAAAUCAACACAGAAGGCGGAACACAAAUGAACAUGGAAUAGCACAUAAGGGGAUUGGAAGGAAGCUUUUUUUUCAAGGAAUUUAACAUAAGACAGAUGGAAAUAUGAUAUUGUUGGAAUCAAAGAAUCGUGGCUGAAAGAAGUCCAAAACUGGUUAUUCCAAAAUGUCCAAAAUAUCAGGCAUGAUAGGAAGAAGUGUAAAAGAGGAGGAGGCAUUUCAUUAUUGAUCAAGAAGAUAUUCACUAUAUUGAUGAGGAGGGAUGUCCUAAAAAGAACUUCAAAUAUGGAUGUAUGGCUAGAGGUUAGGAAUAAAAAAGGGCCAGUCACGUCACUGGGAAUAAAAUUAGGGGAAUUUCCAGUGCAUUUUAUGUUAAUUAAUAUCAAGAGGUUAACCAAGUAAAGAGUAGGACCCUUUAUGGAAUAGCAUGGCAAUGCAUGAAGAGCCUGGUGAAGCCUUUGACAAAUGCUCCUCCGUUAUUACUACAAGAACUAUGUUGUCAUUAGAGAAUUUGGUAAUUAAGGGGAGGAUGGUGAACUUCUAGAGCAUGCUAUUGUUAAAAAAGAGGAGGAAUUGGAUGUGUUAAGCAAGUAUAAAGGUGAGUAAAUUCCCAAGUGUUGGAUAAGAUGCAUCACAGGCUGCAAUGGGGGGCGAGGAAGGAGAUUAGGGAGCCCUGGCAUACAUUUUACUCAAAAGAUAGAAAAUGUGCUUCCUUUGCACAACACAGCAGGGAUAAGCUUGGUAAUUAAAUGCCCACAAAUCUAGCAUCAAUAAUGGUGAAGUUCUUGAAAACUAUUCUGAGGAAAACAAACAAUCUACAAUAAGAAUGAAUUAAUUCAGGAGAAGAUUCUGCCUGACUAAUUUCAUUG